rnacentral:misc_RNA from 1 species
GAUGAAGAACGUAGUGAAAUGCGAUAAGUAAUGUGAAUUGCAGAAUUCAGUGAAUCAUCGAGUCUUUGAACGCACAUUGCGCCCCCUGGUAUUCCGGGGGGCAUGCCUGUCCGAGCGUCAUUGCUGCCCUCAAGCACGGCUUGUGUGUUGGGCCGUCGUCCCCCUCCUAGGGGACGGGCCCGAAAGGCAGCGGCGGCACCGCGUCCGGUCCUCGAGCGUAUGGGGCUUCGUCACCCGCUCCGUAGGCCCGGCCGGCGCUUGCCGACGACCAUCAAUCUCUUUCUCCAGGUUGACCUCGGAUCAGGUAGGGAUACCCGCUGAACUUAAGCAUAUCAAUAAGCGGAGGA